rnacentral:tRNA from 1 species
UGCGCAAUAGCUCAGUUGGUAGAGCAACGGGCUGUGCUGUUAUAAAAGUCAGCGUUUGCCCCUGGUUCAAGUCCAGGUUGAGAAG